AUGCAAGUCGAACGAGUCUCUGGGGGGUAACUCCUAGAGGAAAGUGGCGAAAGGGGCAGUAAUGUAUGGGUAACCUACCUUGAGGUCUGGGAUAGCCAUUCUAACGGAUGGGUAAUACUGGACGGCCUGAGUUGUCGGCAUCGAUGAUUUAGUAAAGGUUACGCCUCGAGAGGGGCCCAUAUGAUAUUAGCUAGUUGGUGAGGUAAUGGCUCACCAAGGCAAAGAUGUCUAGCGGGUGUGAGAGCACGACCCGCGUCACUGGCACUGAGACACUGGCCAGACUCCUACGGGAGGCUGCAGUCGAGGAUCUUCGGCAAUGGACGAAAGUCUGACCGAGCAACGCCGCGUGUGCGAUGAAGGCCUUCGGGUUGUAAAGCACUGUCGAGGGGAAACAAGCCGUAAGGUUGAGUGACCCCUGGAGGAAGCACGGGCUAAGUUCGUGCCAGCAGCCGCGGUAAGACGAACCGUGCAAACGUUAUUCGGAAUCACUGGGCUUAAAGGGCGCGUAGGCGGGUAAUCAAGUCAAUGGUGAAAUCCUCCAGCUUAACUGGAGAAGUGCCUUUGAUACUGGUUGUCUAGAGGGAGGUAGAGGCAUGUGGAACUUCAGGUGGAGCGGUGAAAUGCGUAGAUAUCUGAAGGAACGCCAGUGGCGAAAGCGAUGUGCUGGACCUCUUCUGACGCUGAGGCGCGAAAGCUAGGGGAUCAAACGGGAUUAGAUACCCCGGUAGUCCUAGCCCUAAACUAU
rnacentral:rRNA from 1 species